rnacentral:rRNA from 1 species
GGUAAGGAGGGGCCAGGAGGCGGGGGCAUACGGGGGGGGGAAGUGUUGUCGGGAGUUAUUUGGCGUAAAGAGCGGUGAUGCGGCCAAGCAGGUUCGCUGUGAAAACUCGAGGCGCAACCUCGAGAGGUCGGUGUAAACCGUUUGGCUAGAGUCCGGAAGAGGAGAGUGGAAUUCCCGGUGUAGCGGUGAAAUGCGCAGAUAUCGGGAAGAACACCCGUGGCGAAGGCGGCUCUCUGGGACGGUACUGACGCUGAGACGCGAAAGCGUGGGGAGCGAACAGGAUUAGAUACCCGUGUAGUC